rnacentral:rRNA from 1 species
GAUGAACGCUAGCUACAGGCUUAACACAUGCAAGUCGAGGGGCAGCAUGAAGGAAGCUUGCUUCCUUUGAUGGCGACCGGCGCACGGGUGAGUAACGCGUAUCCAACCUUCCCUUAACUUGGGAAUAGCCCGGUGAAAACCGGAUUAAUGCCCGAUGUGGUCCAGCGAGGGCAUCUGACCCGGACCAAAGAAUUUGUCGGUUAAGGAUGGGGAUGCGUCUGAUUAGCUUGUUGGCGGGGUAACGGCCCACCGAGCCGACGAUCCUUAGGGGUUCUGAGAGGAAGGUCCCCCACACUGGUACUGAGACACGGACCAGACUCC